UACGAAGGGGGCUAGCGUUGUUCGGAUUUACUGGGCGUAAAGCGCACGUAGGCGGAUUGUUAAGUCAGGGGUGAAAUCCUGGAGCUCAACUCCAGAACUGCCUUGAUACUGGCAAUCUCGAGUCCGGAAGAGGUAAGUGGAACUCCUAGUGUGAGAGGUGGAAUUCGUAGAUAUUAGGAAGAACACCAGUGGCGAAGGCAGCCCCCUGGGUCAAGAUUGACGCUCAUGCACGAAAGCG
rnacentral:rRNA from 1 species